UAGGGAAUCUUCGGCAAUGGGGGGAACCCUGACCGAGCAACGCCGCGUGAGUGAAGAAGGUUUUCGGAUCGUAAAGCCCUGUUGUUAAGGAAGAACGUGUGUGAGAGUGGAAAGUUCACACAGUGACGGUACUUAACCAGAAAGGGACGGCUAACUACGUGCCAGCAGCCGCGGUAAUACGUAGGUCCCGAGCGUUGUCCGGAUUUAUUGGGCGUAAAGCGAGCGCAGGCGGUUAGAUAAGUCUGAAGUGAAAGGCAGUGGCUCAACCAUUGUAGGCUUUGGAAACUGUUUAACUCGAGUGCAGAAGGGGAGAGUGGAAUUCCAUGUGUAGCGGUGAAAUGCGUAGAUAUAUGGAGGAACACCGGUGGCGAAAGCGGCUCUCUGGUCUGUAACUGACGCUGAGGCUCGAAAGCGUGGGGAGCGAACAGGAUUAGAUACCCUGGUAGUCCACGCCGUAAACGAUGAGUGCUAGGUGUUAGGUCCUUUCCGGGACUUAGUGCCGCAGCUAACGCAUUAAGCACUCCGCCUGGGGAGUACGACCGCAAGGUUG
rnacentral:rRNA from 1 species